UACGUAGGGUGCGAGCGUUGUCCGGAAUUACUGGGCGUAAAGAGCUCGUAGGUGGUUUGUCGCGUUGUUCGUGAAAACUCACAGCUUAACUGUGGGCGUGCGGGCGAUACGGGCGGGCUGGAGUUCGGUAGGGGAGACUGGAAUUCCUGGUGUAGCGGUGAAAUGCGCAGAUAUCAGGAGGAACACCGGUGGCGAAGGCGGAUCUCUGGGCCUUACCUGACGCUCAGGUGCGAAAGCUAGGGGAGCGAACAGG
rnacentral:rRNA from 1 species